rnacentral:rRNA from 1 species
GGGUUGUGAGGUUAAGCGACUAAGCGUACACGGUGGAUGCCCUGGCAGUCAGAGGCGAUGAAGGACGUGCUAAUCUGCGAUAAGCGUCGGUAAGGUGAUAUGAACCGUUAUAACCGGCGAUUUCCGAAUGGGGAAACCCAGUGUGAUUCGUCACACUAUCAUUAACUGAAUCCAUAGGUUAAUGAGGCGAACCGGGGGAACUGAAACAUCUAAGUACCCCGAGGAAAAGAAAUCAACCGAGAUUCCCCCAGUAGCGGCGAGCGAACGGGGAGCAGCCCAGAGCCUGAAUCAGUGUGUGUGUUAGUGGAAGCGUCUGGAAAGGCGUGCGAUACAGGGUGACAGCCCCGUACACAAAAAUGCACAUACUGUGAGCUCGAUGAGUAGGGCGGGACACGUGGUAUCCUGUCUGAAUAUGGGGGGACCAUCCUCCAAGGCUAAAUACUCCUGACUGACCGAUAGUGAACCAGUACCGUGAGGGAAAGGCGAAAAGAACCCCGGCGAGGGGAGUGAAAAAGAACCUGAAACCGUGUACGUACAAGCAGUGGGAGCACGCUUAGGCGUGUGACUGCGUACCUUUUGUAUAAUGGGUCAGCGACUUAUAUUCUGUAGCAAGGUUAACCGAAUAGGGGAGCCGAAGGGAAACCGAGUCUUAACUGGGCGUUAAGUUGCAGGGUAUAGACCCGAAACCCGGUGAUCUAGCCAUGGGCAGGUUGAAGGUUGGGUAACACUAACUGGAGGACCGAACCGACUAAUGUUGAAAAAUUAGCGGAUGACUUGUGGCUGGGGGUGAAAGGCCAAUCAAACCGGGAGAUAGCUGGUUCUCCCCGAAAGCUAUUUAGGUAGCGCCUCGUGAAUUCAUCUCCGGGGGUAGAGCACUGUUUCGGCAAGGGGGUCAUCCCGACUUACCAACCCGAUGCAAACUGCGAAUACCGGAGAAUGUUAUCACGGGAGACACACGGCGGGUGCUAACGUCCGUCGUGAAGAGGGAAACAACCCAGACCGCCAGCUAAGGUCCCAAAGUCAUGGUUAAGUGGGAAACGAUGUGGGAAGGCCCAGACAGCCAGGAUGUUGGCUUAGAAGCAGCCAUCAUUUAAAGAAAGCGUAAUAGCUCACUGGUCGAGUCGGCCUGCGCGGAAGAUGUAACGGGGCUAAACCAUGCACCGAAGCUGCGGCAGCGACGCUUAUGCGUUGUUGGGUAGGGGAGCGUUCUGUAAGCCUGUGAAGGUGUGCUGUGAGGUAUGCUGGAGGUAUCAGAAGUGCGAAUGCUGACAUAAGUAACGAUAAAGCGGGUGAAAAGCCCGCUCGCCGGAAGACCAAGGGUUCCUGUCCAACGUUAAUCGGGGCAGGGUGAGUCGACCCCUAAGGCGAGGCCGAAAGGCGUAGUCGAUGGGAAACAGGUUAAUAUUCCUGUACUUGGUGUUACUGCGAAGGGGGGACGGAGAAGGCUAUGUUGGCCGGGCGACGGUUGUCCCGGUUUAAGCGUGUAGGCUGGUUUUCCAGGCAAAUCCGGAAAAUCAAGGCCGAGGCGUGAUGACGAGGCACUACGGUGCUGAAGCAACAAAUGCCCUGCUUCCAGGAAAAGCCUCUAAGCAUCAGGUAACAUCAAAUCGUACCCCAAACCGACACAGGUGGUCAGGUAGAGAAUACCAAGGCGCUUGAGAGAACUCGGGUGAAGGAACUAGGCAAAAUGGUGCCGUAACUUCGGGAGAAGGCACGCUGAUACGUAGGUGAAGCGACUUGCUCGUGGAGCUGAAAUCAGUCGAAGAUACCAGCUGGCUGCAACUGUUUAUUAAAAACACAGCACUGUGCAAACACGAAAGUGGACGUAUACGGUGUGACGCCUGCCCGGUGCCGGAAGGUUAAUUGAUGGGGUUAGCGCAAGCGAAGCUCUUGAUCGAAGCCCCGGUAAACGGCGGCCGUAACUAUAACGGUCCUAAGGUAGCGAAAUUCCUUGUCGGGUAAGUUCCGACCUGCACGAAUGGCGUAAUGAUGGCCAGGCUGUCUCCACCCGAGACUCAGUGAAAUUGAACUCGCUGUGAAGAUGCAGUGUACCCGCGGCAAGACGGAAAGACCCCGUGAACCUUUACUAUAGCUUGACACUGAACAUUGAGCCUUGAUGUGUAGGAUAGGUGGGAGGCUUUGAAGUGUGGACGCCAGUCUGCAUGGAGCCGACCUUGAAAUACCACCCUUUAAUGUUUGAUGUUCUAACGUGGACCCGUGAUCCGGGUUGCGGACAGUGUCUGGUGGGUAGUUUGACUGGGGCGGUCUCCUCCUAAAGAGUAACGGAGGAGCACGAAGGUUGGCUAAUCCUGGUCGGACAUCAGGAGGUUAGUGCAAUGGCAUAAGCCAGCUUGACUGCGAGCGUGACGGCGCGAGCAGGUGCGAAAGCAGGUCAUAGUGAUCCGGUGGUUCUGAAUGGAAGGGCCAUCGCUCAACGGAUAAAAGGUACUCCGGGGAUAACAGGCUGAUACCGCCCAAGAGUUCAUAUCGACGGCGGUGUUUGGCACCUCGAUGUCGGCUCAUCACAUCCUGGGGCUGAAGUAGGUCCCAAGGGUAUGGCUGUUCGCCAUUUAAAGUGGUACGCGAGCUGGGUUUAGAACGUCGUGAGACAGUUCGGUCCCUAUCUGCCGUGGGCGCUGGAGAACUGAGGGGGGCUGCUCCUAGUACGAGAGGACCGGAGUGGACGCAUCACUGGUGUUCGGGUUGUCAUGCCAAUGGCACUGCCCGGUAGCUAAAUGCGGAAGAGAUAAGUGCUGAAAGCAUCUAAGCACGAAACUUGCCCCGAGAUGAGUUCUCCCUGACCCUUUAAGGGUCCUGAAGGAACGUUGAAGACGACGACGUUGAUAGGCCGGGUGUGUAAGCGCAGCGAUGCGUUGAGCUAACCGGUACUAAUGAACCGUGAGG